rnacentral:lncRNA from 1 species
CCCCCGCUGCCGCCGCCGCCGCCCGGCGACGCCGCCUCAUUGCGCUUGCCUCCCAGAGCCGGGAAGAGCCCGCAGCUCUGCAGCCCGUAGGGCAGGUCGGCCGCCGGUGGCAGGUAGACCCCGCCGUGGGCGUAGUAGCCGCCGCCACCGCCGCCCCCGGCGCCGCUGCCACCGCCGCCAGCCUCGCCUCUGCCGGAGCUGAUGAGCGAGUCGACCAAAAAAGAGUUCGCGGCGGGGCUCUCCGAGCAUGACAUUGUUGUGGGAUAAUUUGGCGAAGGGAGCAGAUAGCCCUUUCUGGCUGACAUUUCUUGUGCAAAACAUGCUGAAUACGAUUAGCAAUCCCCCCGCACCGCGGCGGGCGCCCGCAGCCAAUCCUGAGCCAGAGUUUCCGCGCGACCACUCCCAGUUUGGUUUCGUAGGCGCGGGGCCGCUCUCCGAGGGCGCCCUCUGAGCCCACGAUUGAUAUAAAUAUGUAAUCUGUAUUGAUGGGCCAGGAGACGCACACCCAAUACCUCAGCCCAAAGGCCAGGAGCUGUGGGGGCUGCCCCAACGUGGCUAGUGGGGGGCCUGGUUCCUGGGCUAGCCCCGCCCACGCUCGGACGUGAGCCCUCCUGCGGGGUCUGUUUGAAGGGCCCUUGGGCCCCCGCGCAGUUAACAAGUGGGGUGUUUAUGGUGCGCACCCCGGCCCGCCUUGGGUGCUCCCCACUCUUAUUUCGGAAUUAGCCACUAGCCCUCCAUAUACUCUAAACACUAAGCGGGCCUAUUGUAGGGCCUCAGACUCUUCCCAUUCGGCUCCGGACCUGGAACUGUCUCCUACAAGUGGCCGACCUGGCCGUAAGGCCACCAAGAACCUCAGAGUGUCCGAGAUCCAGAGCGCACUGGAAGCCGGCUAUUGCCACUUCUUUCUUGAUUCCCAUACGUAAUUUCCCCCCAAAUGUAUUGCCCUGGCCUCUCAACCCCCACACUCUCCCCAGCCAGUCGUUGACCCACUUAGGAUCUUUGUCUCUGGUAUGCUCACCUGGCUUGCUUUCUCUGAAGCUGCUGUCGGUGGACCCUGGUGAGCUGGAACGAGAAGGGGGGUGGGGAUGGUAGAAGCGACUGGCAACCUUGGCUGAAAGACUCCCCUACCCCUAUUGCGAGGUCAGAGCCAGGUCCAGGCACCCCAUAGCCCCAUUUCCCCGGUAGCUUCCAAGCUCAAACGCCGUUUCAGGGAAGUGAAAGAAACAUUGCUCUUCUGGGUCUUGGGUUUGACUGGAGGCGACGACCUGGAGGGGUAAACUUGGAGAAGGGGCGGCGGAUGAGCACCUCUGCCGUACAAUUCUCAAGCUCUCCCUUUAGCCUUGGCAUUCGCACGCUCUCGGAGGUUAUGACUAGAACCAGUGUCACCACACUCCUGCCUCUUCGUCCCCUCCCCUCUUCCCCCCUCCCCUCCAAACCCGCGGCUGGGGCAGCCCUCACUCCCGCGGUGUGCGCAUUUUAACGAGGCCCGCGGUGAGGAAAUCCGUUCCCGGCAAGCCCGGGCUGGGCUCGUGGCCCAGUUAUAGCAGCAUUUGGAGGCCAGGCCCUUUGCUCAGCAGAUACCGGGGCCUCCUUUUUCCCUGGCCGUAGGAACGCUCUCUCAGUCAAUGGAAACUGCUGUCCCAGGGAGCUAGCCCCUGUGUGGGCCUCUUACAUAUCUCAGGAAAUGCGACCUUUUCCGGCCCGGAUCCAGUAGAGUCCAGGAGGUCUCUGCCUUGCCCCUUGCCGGUGGGCUACAGCUCUCCAGGAUGCCCCAGGCCUGCCCGCCGCACCAGCUCCAGCCCCUGCAGAGGCCUAGACUGGGGCUGCUAAACGCCGGGAUCCCAGGAAGCAGACCGCUCAGGCCUCUGCCUGCAGCGGGGAAAGACCCUUGCAUCCCGGGUGAUUUGCCAGGCACUUGGCCUUGUUCCUCCCGGUGUGAACCCAGACCGAGAAGGAAGCCGAGCCUGAGAAGACCCAGAGAGGGUGCACGGGAGAGCUGGCGGAAGAGCCCUGACGCUGGCUUCUGAGAUGCAAGCAGUUGCGGAAUCUGCCUGUUGUGGCUGCUCUCCGCCCGCCCGCAGCGCGGGCGGCCGCGCCACAGUUUGCGCUGCGCUCUAGCCGCUUCCACCCAACUGGCCUGCGCCUGGCGGUGACCGGAUCCGCAGACUGGGCAUCGGGGGUACAGAGGAGGGGGAUAGGGAAAGACAGAGAGACACAGAAGGAGAGAAGGCCAGAGGGAGAGAAAAGAGAGGGGGAGAGAAGGGGAGAGUGUCUGAGAACUAAUUCUUUCCAGUCCACAAGCUCCUGAGGCCGAAGUAGCAGCCGCAGCCGAAUCAAGUGUGUGUGGAGAGAUCAGGAGCUGUCCUUCACUGCCCACCUCCUUCCCACGAACAAGGCCAAGGCAAUUUCUAAUCUGGCUAGGCCCACGAGAUCGACAAACUUCCAUAUGGAAAGCUUCAGAGCUCGGAAACCUAGGACCCUUCUCUGGACGGGCUUGGUCCUUAUCCCACUCACCAGGAGGGUGUAACGCAUUGGGACUGUGGCGCUCAGCAGUGCUACUGGGAAAUGCCACAAAACUGAGGACUGCUUGAGAAGGGGCUUUGCCUCUUAGCACUGCUCAUGCCAAUCAAGAAAGCUCUGCAGAGUGUGAAGUAGGUCCCAAGAACAGGAGAGGGUUCCUUGAAAAGAACGCGUCCCAGCAGGCCAAUGGGCCAGGACUUGGUUACUCUCCCCACUAAAUGCACAAAGCAACUUCCCAAGGCUGUAGAUUGGAAAGGGUCAGUGGCCAUGGGAGAGGAUGCUUGAGAUGGCAGAGGCUAAGAAAAUAAAGUGAAAAGUCAAUGAUCUAAACCUAUCUUUCUCUUUGAAAGUUAAGGCCCCUUUGGAAAAGCUAAGGCCAAGCUCUGAUUCUUAUCCUGUGAAAAAUGCACAUCUGGGCAUUCCCACAAUUUGACCCAUCAUUCUCAAGGAGUUCACAGACUCCUCACAGUCUUCUCCUUGGGCCCUCCAGAAUGUUCCAGGACCCUCCGGAAUUCAGCAGCCCUGCCAGUUUGACUGGUAAGACAAGCCGGUUGCCCCAGCCCUAGGCAGUUCAGGCUUAGUCUGGUCAGGGCUCUGUAGGGUGACCAAAUGGGCUUCUAGGCUGGAUAAGAUCCAAGAGCAUGCAGGUGCCAACCAAGGUUACAAAAGUCAGCUUGGUGCUGCAUCUGCUAUAUGAAGGUCCCCUUGGCUGCCGACUCAGAGGAGGUGGAAGGCUUGCUGCAGCCUCUCAGACCAUGGCAUUGGCACUUGGGUCUUCACUGACCUUUGGGAGAGCUGGAUGUUUUUCUCCAGGGUCUUUUCUCCCCUUGCAAUAAACCAAACGGGAUGUUGAGUUUCUUGCUUAAAAAAAAAAAAAAAAAAGGAUGACGAUGAUGAAGAGUGUGUAAGCCCAUGCAUGUGAGAGUUCUUCUCUGGCCCAGGACCGCCACCCCACCCCCACCGGGGCUUGCCGAGCCUGAAGCCGAGCGGAAUGGACAGCCUUGCCGACGCGCCGGGGCGCCGACUGGCCUGCUGCCGCUGGUUCGGACGAGAAGAUAUCCACGCAGCAGAAACUCAAGUUAGAGGCUACUGCCCUUUCAGCUGGUCUUGGAGCUCCCAGCAUCCCCGACUGCCCCCAAGCCUCUGCACUCCCCAGACUGUAACACUGAGGUGUUAACUUUCUCAAUAGAAUAUUCCGUUUAUCGAUUGCCUGGGCUUUCCCAAGGUUCUCCAUUCCCGAGAGAGAUUAAGAAAAGCGAUUUAGUUGCAGCAUGUGUAGGCUUCUGGACACUCUCUUCCCUCUAACCCAUUUGCCUUCUUUUCUUCUCUCCUCUUCUCCCUCCCUCCCAGCUGCUGAAUUUCUCUCUCUCGCCCUCAGGAUGCUUUUGACCUAAAACUCUCGGUGCCUGCUUCCUUCAGCCAGGCCUGUGUAGUGGUUAUAUGGCAGCCCCUAAAGCCCACGUUUUAUUUAGGAGUAAAUAUCGUCUGUUUCUACCUGGGUAAUAACGCUUCCCCUCCCUGUGGCCAUGGAGCCGAAGUAAUCGCCAGGCCGGUGGAAAAAGCCCUUUGGCGAGGAUUACGAUGCAUUUCACCAGAGAGCGGAUUCCUACUCCUCCUGAGUAGGCCCUCGCAAAUGACCAGAAAUAACAAACUGUUAUUACCAAAAAACACCUCUUUUUAAAAAUACUGGGUACUGAGAUUGAGAUAGCCAGUAAACAAUCUGUAUCUGUAAAUUGUUCUCAGGGCUUUCCAGGGUCAGAAUUAUCUGACCUGUUGUGGAGUUGGGCUGUAGCAUCACAGAGGAAAAACAAACGCUACUUUCACAUAUCUGUUUUAACAAAACUUAUGGACUUCUCUGAUUCUCUCCUUUACUGUAUAGUUAAAAUAUUUUUUAUUGUAAGCGAUGACAUUCUUUUCUCGUUCAUCUUUAAGAAUGUCAGCAUUUCCAGGGAUAUUUGCUGUGUCUGCUUUGAAUUAAUCAGGUGCAAUCUAUCCCUCAACAACGCACUUUAAACUUUUCUCUAAAUCCAGCCAUUAAACUGGCUCUUCUCUCUCUCGUGAUGGGGGAGUGUUGGGGCCUUUUCUCAUGCUCCCUAAGUUACAGUAUCCUUAAUUUUGUCUGUAAUAAACUGCUUCUGGCCUUGAAACUAGAAGUGGUUCUGGGAUUUUAGGGAAGGCUCAGGCUGCAGACAGCAUGGUGUGGAUGCCCACUCGGUGUGGUUCCUGUGGCUGCCUUAUUCUGACAGAAUUUGGAAUCCCGAGCUCAACAAAGACUAGUGACUUUUGAUAGGCAAAUUUACGAACACACACACAGGCACACAGGCAGCGCCUAUUUUCUGAGAUUCCUGCCCCCACUCACCCAUGCACUGUAUAUUUGUAAAAAUAAAAAAAAAACAUUUCAAGAAACUAAUGAGAACAUCGGAAUAAAAACUUAAAUAUAAGAAAAGAGGACAUUUGAAUCUAGCCUCUGAAAUCUUAAGUCAAACGAUUAUUUUAAAACGUGUUUUAUGACAACGCUGAUGGACAGAUUGUGAUCAGAGUCAGUGCGAGCUUUUGAAAACGUAUAGGUAUUUACCAAUACCGUUUUUGCAUAUUUUGCAAAAUAUGCACAAGAUAUCAUUUUUACAUCUAAGAAAUCACCACAAAACCCCAGCCCGGUUUAUAAUGGUACAUUCCGAAUAAGCAAAUACAGACUUCUCUGGAAGCUUCAAAAAUCAUAUGUGACUUUUUUGAAUUGGCCUUCUUCAGAACAAAGGUUUUCCCCAGGCUGCUGGGGCACCUAGUAGGAAACCAGCGGCCUCCCGGAUGUCUGCCCCAGGGAAUAAGCCAGCCCCAGCGGCCACGGUUGCUGACCACCUCAUUGUUUGGAGUAGAAACUUUAUUUUUCCCAGCCCCGCCAUCUCUCUCUCUCUCUCUCUCUCUCUCUCUCUCUCUCCCUUUCUCUCUCUCUUUUCCUCUCUCUCUUUUCCCCUCUCUCUGCCCCCCCCCUCUCUUUUUGUUGCCACCACAAUCCCGAUCCCAGUAGAAGCAGAACUCUUUCGCUUGGAUGCCCCCCAUCCUUGGCUCGUCCCAUUCUGAACAUUUCUAGAAAACUGAAAGAUCGCCUUGGGUGAAUUGAUGGCGCAGGGAGCUUAAAUCGUCAACUUUUCCACUUAGGCCUCCCCCUGCUUUCCAACCUUAGUGAGCGAUGGGAGAAAGGGGGGGUGGGCUGAGCGCCUAUAGCGUCACCCAGAGCGCACAAACCCAGCCACUUUUCCCAGUCCUCCUCUGACAUCGGCCACUUCCCCACUCCCGCCUCAGCCAGAUUGAAAUUGCUAAACUUGUGGCCUCUUACCUUGACACAUUUCCGAAAUCACUGCCAAGGGACAGCAGGCUUCUCCGUGCCGCGACGCCUGCGAGGCCUAAAGAAGGCGCGUUGCUUUAAAUUACACCAAUUACUUCUCGAAGGUGCCCCCCCUUUUUUUGAUACUAAGGGGAGCGGGACAAGUGAAAUAAUGUAACGUGCUGCUCUUAGUAUCAGAAGCGAACAAAGGCCGAGAAUCGCGCUGGGGUUCCCGGCUCCCCGGCGGCUUUGACAUUGAUCGGACGUGCGCCAUCUCGUGGCGGCUGAGCGACUAGGCCUAGCCCGAACUUCAGCCCGGAGCCCGGGAGAGGGAAGCAGGCUCUAGGCAUAGACUGAGGGAAAGAAUGUGCCCAGCCCGCUGCUAAAGAGAUCUCAUUUUUACAUCUAAGAAAUUGCUGCAAAACCCCAGCCGGGUUUAUAGCGGCGCAUUCCAAAUAUGCAAAUUGGCCGGCCCCGGACGGGUUUACGACCACAUUGUCACAGCCAUCGGAGGAUGGGCUUUUAUAGGGCUCAGAAAUCAAACCCGCGCCCGCUCGCCGCCCGCCCGCGAACAGUCCUCCUGGCUAGACUCUCUAGCAACUUGCAAGACUUUGGUUAAUCUUUAACCGUCCCAAAGGAAGUCUUUCCUUAAACCCUGGGUUUCCCUGCCCACCCCUCACUGCCCCCCAAGAGAGUCGUUGUUCACCUCCGUGUCUGUUCAUCAACCUAGACAUUCAUCUAGGGGGUCUGUCCCAUUCCCUUUUGAGCUCGAUUUCCCCAGUCGCGCCAGUUAGACAAACACACAAACAAAUAAACAAAGCGCGGUCUGGGGUCUGAGGCCUCUCUCCAAAUUCCACCUUCUCUGCAGUUCUGGCCCUGCCUGGGUGGCUAGGGAGAGGGUGGGGGUAGAGGUGGGGGGUGGGCAACAAAAGGCUCUGGCCUUUCCGCUCUGCCCCUCAAGGUUAUGGGUGAUGUCCAAAUUUAAGGCAGAAGUUCAAAGGCAGGAAACAAAGAGGAAACCGGCAUCUUUCUUUCCCCAAAGGGAAAAGGCAGCCUCAGCUGGGAGCUUGGGACAACGUGCCCAUAGAGGCUCCUGAGAGUCUAUCUACUCUUUGUACCCAGACCAGUCUCUGUCUUCCUAAGGAGAUCCCCAGGGCACCCUACAGUGCUUCUACUUCAGGCCUCCCAAUCCUGAGGUGAGCAAACCCAGCUUGGGAUCAAACUAAUCAGCCACUUCAAAGCCCAGGGCUUUCUCCCAAGCCUCUCUCCAGUCUGAAAGGAUGAAACCCCCAAUUCCAGGUCCUGAGAUACUCCAUUCCUGGGACCCCGCCCCCCACCCUUCCCAAAAGGACCUGGCCAGCCACCUUGGCUUCCCAAGCCUGGCUUCCAGUGGAGUUAAAUCCCGACUAAGUCACCUCCCCACCCCUGCAGGGGCCUGAUAACUUGCCCCUUUUUGGGGGUGGGGGGGGCAAACAUUUGGCAGUAAAAGGCAAACAGGAAGAGGACUGUCACACCAGGACCCAAUACUCAAGUUUCCACAGUCUUUAUUUUCCUUGUGCCCUGUCGCCUGUGUACAUGCUGCGACAUACGUGGUAGGUGAGAACGGAGGACAGGCCAACACUCCCAUUACAAACAGAGCCACCAAACACUUCUUAAAACAGGGAGGCAGAGGAGAUUCAAUGGGAGGGUACUUGGCUUUCUCAGCUGAGGUCCCCAGAGCCUGUAGGGCCAGACUACCUUAGAGCUUACCCCUAUGCUUUCCGAACAUUCCAAGAAAUCAAAAAGAUCAUUCCCAAUACCCUUCCCGCCCCUCCAAUCCCCCAAGGAAGUCAACGAAUGGCAAAAUUUAAAAAGUAUUCAAACAAAAUAGGUUAUGGUUCUUUUAUUUACAAGUCUUUUGAACACCAUCCCUGUAUGAAGCGUACAUUCAAAUAUUUUUAGCAGUGAGUGAGUUUAAUCGUGGAACACUGUAAACAGAUAGAGCCUUUAAAUAUUCUCUUCAUCAUCUUUUUCCCCCUCUACGUUGCAUCUUUUAAAAUUCGCUUUGGUUCCUGCAGGGAAAUAUAUAUAUAUAUAUAUAUAUAUAUAUAUAUAAUAUAAUAUUUAUUUUUUAAAAUAAUUCCAAACUCCCUUGAGCUCCUGGAAGGUCGCCGGAAGCUUCCAAGCUCAGUUCUGGGGCGGCGAAGGGCAGAGUGCGGUGCCAGAACUGGGUAUUUUGGGGACUCAAGCCCCUCAUAGCUGGGGACCGCUGGCCCGGCCCACUGUGUCGCUGAGCAAAUCCAAGCCUCAAUUAAGUGUGGUGGAAACUUUGCCAGGCUGCCGCACUCCACAGGCAUUUCCUGCAGAGAUCUUGGGGCCAGCGGCCUGGAUGCGGCCUCUUAGCUUUUUGAUGUUUUCCACCUCGGGAAAGGUCUGCUCUGUGACCAGGCUUUAGGCCUGAGUGGCAGGCCAGGAAGAAAACCCUCACCGGUAGGAAAAACUAGGUGGGCUGCAGGAGACAACUGCUAGAAGCCCAGGCCUCAGACAGUGCAUUGAGUGGCUAGGAGGGGUGGAGAGCUGCUAAUGCCACCUGGAAUAGAUUUUUUUCCCCCUCCAGGAUCAGCAGCCCUCUCCCACCUCACAGUCACCUUUUAGUCCAGCCGCCGUCUUUCACAUUGGCUUUGGAAAGCAGCCCCACUCGGAACAUCUAGGAAUCCUCCCCCCUUCCUCCUGUUCCUGUCCCCAAGCUGAACUGUGUUUAAAGACAGAAUAGCUUCUUGACGCAGGGGUCCUGGGGGUGGGCAGGCUCCAUGUGGAGGGUCCUGGGCCCAGGUCGUUCUCCAGGGCGCUUGGCAGGGGGCCCAGUCCUGAUGGAGACCACACCCAGCCCAAAGCUCCACAGUCUCUAAGAAUGAACCACCAGGGGUCCCAAACCAUUUAUUCUAGUUGAUGCACAACUCUCCAAAUCCAAUUUUUGUUAGGAAUCUUAACCACAGAUGCCCAAGAGAGUCCCGGGCCACCUCCUUAGAGGCUGUCUCCGUGUAGCCUCCUCUCUUUUGCACAUCUCUUUUCUUCGAAAGUCACCACGUGCCUUGACCUUGUCAAGGGCAAAAUCUGCAUAUAAUCUCACGUGUAUGAAACCCCCCACCCAAUUCCAGCAGGCUGGAGCCUUAGAGGAGCGGGUUGGCCGAGUAGUACUGUAAACGGUCUCUGUUAAUUUUUUUUUCCUUCAUUCUCCUGUUCUGAAACCAGAUUUUGACUUGACGGUCAGUGAGGUUGAGCAUGCGAGACAGCUGCAGGCGCUUCUCUUUGUUGAUGUACACACUGAAGAAGAAUUCCCGCUCCAGCUCCCGGAUCUGGUACUUGGUAUAGGGGCAGCGCUUUUUUCUGGUGCGUUGGCCACCUGUGGAGGGAGAAAGAAGCAGGGAGCGAGUCAGGUAUGGGGGCUGCAGUCCGUCCUUGAGCCCCGAGUGGAGGAAAAGGGCUGGCCCAAGGGACUGGCCCUGUGCAAACCCCAUCAAGGUCUCCUCAGUCCCCUGCCUUCAGACUCCUACUGCCAGCUGGGGACAGGCUGCAGGCGGAGACUCAGCCCCAGAUAAAAGCCAGCUUCCUAGAUAGGCCCCCAGGGAAGCUGCUCACGCUGCCCCCAGAGCAGAAAGGAGGGUUCCUUACAGCAACAGGCUAGUUUGUGCCGCAGAGGCGGCUUUCAAAGCUGCCGAGUGGGGGUUGCCGGCUGCCUCCAGCCCCGCCAGACUAAACAAACAGCCGCCCGCGGACAUUUCACCUUCAAGCACCUGGGCUGCUGGUUCCUGAGGCAGUAAAGUCGGCCCCAGCCCCAGUCUUUCCCGGCUGCGGCCCUGACUCGGCCCUUGUUAGCAUCUGAGUCAGCUGCCGGGUCUUUGUCAGCCUGCGUUCUGGCCACCAACUCCUGCCUCCUGGACCAGCCUCCUGGCUUCCACGAGGUGAGGGGGUGGCAGCGGAAGCCCCCUACCCUGGGCCUUCCCUGAGCACCAAGGCCAUAGAGCCACCCAGGUCCCCAGCAGGGCAGGGGUGCUGAUUUAGAUAGGGUGGAGGGAACAGGGGCUUCCCAAAAGCUGCCGGCAGGCUUCACUUGCUCCCCUUUUCAAUAAAACUUCACAGGACGGAAAGGAAAAACCCGCUUUUGACAGAUUGAAUAACAAUUGUUAGUAACAUGCAGUUGGACAGAAGGCGGCACGUAAUUGCCACCGCGCCAGAGGAAAAUGGCUUCCUUUUGGAUAAAAAGGCCAACUUUGGCUUAAUUUGUUCCUUUUAAUGUGUUGCUCGAGCUACAGCGGGCUAUUUUAUCUGUAAAACACGCUCCUAGCGCCGUCGUUAAACAGGGAUGCCUUUGAAUCCCGGCUGGGACUGGAGUCCCGGCGCAACACAUGGCUUUUAUAAAAAUCUCCGGAUUACCUCGCUAUCAAAGGCUCCCGGAGCCUUUGCAGGGGGAAUUUACAGGCGCCCACCUCCGGCUCCCCAGCCCGAUCUGGCCCUGAGCGGGGUCGAGCUGCCGGGCUUGGGACUGAGAAGGGAAAAAAGGGGAAAAGGGAGUUGUGUGUGUGUGUGUGUGUGUGUGUGUGUGUGUUGUGUUUUUUUUUUUUUUUUUUUUUUUUUUUUUUUUGCAGGCAUGCCUUGGCCGGUGGGUAUUUCACGGCCAAUUUCAGCACUCGCCACGUGAUCCCGCCUUUUAUAACAAAGUUUUGUUGGGGGAAACCUAAAGGCCCUUCAUAAACCUUAUAUGCUUAUAAAACAGCAUAUAAAAAUUUAACAGCGGUGCUGCGCUAGAUUUCCAACUCCCCUUUCAUAAAGCGCAGGGCGCUUGCCUUUAUACGUACUGGAGCCGCUGGCCUUGUCCUCAGUGUGGCCGGAAGACGACUCGGGGCUGCUGCUGCUGUCAGGGCGCCGUCGCCGCUCCUUCUCCUCCGCCCCGGCAGCCGCCGCCGCAGCCGCGGAGGUCGCUGCGGCCGCCGGGGGCCCUUUCUCGGCGCUCUUGUCCCCGGGGUAGUCGGAGGAGGCGAGGUUUUCCGGGGUGCCGUAGGCCGUCUCGAAAAACUGGUCGAAAGCCUGUGGCAGAACGCCGUUCCUGCCCACGGUGCUAUAGAAAUUGGACGAGACGGCGGGGGUGGGGUGGUGGUAGACGUUGGCCGAGCUCUUGGCCAGCACGUCGCCAGGCACGCCGGCCGCGCUGGGCGCCUGCAGGCAGUCUCUGUGCACGAGCUCCUCCGCGGAGUAGCAGUGAGCCAGAUUGCCGCGGGGGUGCCAUUUAGUGGCGGGCUCAAUGGCGUACUCUCUGAAGGUCACUUCGCGUACGGGUUGGACCUGGGGCAGGUUGGAAGAGUAGGAGUAUGUCAUUGGGCGCGAAGACGGGGUCUGGGGCAGAAAAGAAGGGAGGCUGGAGAAAUCUGGACCCGAGACGUAGUAAGUACAACUUGGCAAAUACAUGUUAGAGGAGCAGGGACCACGCUCAUCAAAAUCCAUCAUUGGGCUACCUUGGGCUCUCCGCAGUAGCCGAGCUUAACAUGAUUCUCCACUGCAGCUGCCUCUUUGAAGCGGAUCCGUGAAGUAGAAAUUUGGAGACGUAAGCUGACGUGGAAAUCUAUCCCCAUCCUUAGCAGGGAGGUGCUGGUCAUGUGACCCGAUGUUGAAAUUGACAAGCUGCGAGCUGGUCCGGGCCUUUUUUUUUUUUUUUUUUCCCCUUUCCUUUCCCCCCCCUCCCCUCCCUCCCCGGCUUCCUUUCUUUGUAGCCACCUCAGGGGAAGCAACAGAUCGUCACUCGGUGUUCUCACCGAAAGCACGUAAUCGCCGGUGUAACUCAUGUUGGCUGGGGGGCCUCCCGGCGCGCGGCGAGGCUGGGGUGCGUCCCAUGCCACUCGCUUGUGCUCAGCUGCACGGUCCUGGCCCUCAAGUGCGCCGAGGGCGGUGAGAGAGCUCAACUCCUGCCACCCAUCACUCCCCGGGUGAGGGAUGCCCCAGGCUGGGGGUGGCCGGGUGGGAGCUCGUCGCUGCGUGGCCCGUGCGCGGUCCUGGAAUCUAUUCUCCUGGAGGCUCGCGUUCGCACCUCCUUCUUCGCUAUCCCCCUCCCACAGGCUUGCUCUGGAAACCACCUCUGCCUCCGACUAGGGCCGGACCCCCUUCGGGGCCAGGGUUCGCAGCCGUGGAUGUGCCUGCCUCGUGGCUUGCCCGAUUUGCACGGUGACUUGAUUACACGCUCGCAUUCAUGGUCACUUCCGAAGCGCUUUAGUGCCUUCCGUCCCUAAACCGCCAACAACCAGGGCGGCUUCCCCCGCGGUUUGUCAGGCAUCUGCAGGUCCCGGAAGGGCCUUCGUCUUACCCGGGAUCCACCUCCACUUCAUUCUCCCCGCCGGCCUCCUCACUCCACCCCCUGCCCUUGGAGAACCCCCCACCCCCUCCUCCCCGCUGCCUGCCGGGGUUCGGAGUCGCCCGGCAGAGCCGGAGGCUGUGGGGGCUGCGCCACGGUGCACGGGUCCGCCCGCCUGCCUGGUCUCAUGGAGCUGAGGACCCGGGAAGCCGUGCGGUUGAGGCGAGCCUUGGGCUGCUUUAGGGGCGCUGACAGCCGAGGAGCGUUUUCCUGGGUAUGCUGCACCUUCCGCGGGCUCAGCAGGCUGCCAGCGGAGCUUCAGAGCUGAGUGGGGGCAGUGAGGAGACGGCUAGGGACAGGGAGCCGUGGCUGAGAAAAGGGUAACAUGCUUCCUCUCCUUCCUGGCGAAGCGUGAGAGCCAGUGAUGUGCAGGGAGAAACUCAGAAGGCUCGGCGCCUUUUCUGCUACUCAUCCCACAGAAGAAACACAAUGCCAGAGGAAAGAGCGCUGCUUCCCAAACUCGCGGGACCGGGGGUGACAAGAACGCCUCGGAAAGGCUAGAUUUGAGCCCAAGGUAGAGACAGGGGCCAUAGCUGCUAGUAGGAGUCUUAGCUUUCUUGGGAAAAAGAAAGAAAAAAAUUAAGAUGGUGAAAAAUGCUUGCCAUCCUGCAGGAUUGAAUUAUCAACGUUUGGGAGAAGUGAAAGAGGGCAUAGGGCUGCCAGGCAGGACCACAGCUGGGAGGGGCCCAGCCCUGGGGCCUCCCCACACCUAUCUUCUUGGAAGGAGCUGGAUGUCGCUGAAGCAAAGUUGAAAAAUGAAAAAGGAUAACCUUUUCCCUUUCCCCAUCCAGGAAAUAGCUGAAGGUAUUUAUAUAUCUCGGGGAGAUUUAGAGUAUAAACUCUAAGAUCUUUGGUAUUUAAGUGUCAACAUCGAUUUAUUUAUUUAUUGCUGAGCUGACUGUAACUGACUCAAUAACAAAUCUAAUCAUGUAUUGCACUGGAAAAGAACUAUUCUCAUUAUGUGUUUUCUCCAAAUGAUGGCCCACCGUUGCAUUUGAAUACCUGCUGUAAAUAUCAAUAAUAUCGAGUAAUUACUCUGCAGUGGAGUAAACUAAUUUAUUGGCAUUAAUGUUUAUGUGGCUCCUACCCCCUUCCUUUACAAGGGUUGCUUAUCACAAAUCAAACUAGUCGGACACAUUGGUUUAAUGAACUCUUUAUUCAGGAUUUGCUGCAAGAACUUUCAUACCCCUUGAAUCCCUAAGAGUUGAACUUGAAAUUAUUUGUGCAUCUUCAGCUUGACAUAUUCGUCCACUGUGGCUUGUGCACUGUGCAGAGGGCAGCAGUGGUGUGAGUGAGGUCUGGUGGGAAGGAAGGUUAUUGGGGAAAGGCAGCUUGAGACCUCCUAAAGCUGGGAAUCGCAGUUACGGGAUUGCCCUGCAGCGAAAAAACUUCGAUUUCCAGCAGUGACCAACAAGGCAAAAUAUUUAUUUCUCCACAGCAUCUCUUUCUUGGAGACAGAAUAUAAAAGGGAGAAGGAGAGGUUUGCGAACAGUAGUGUUUGAGCCAUUCCCGGACUUGAUUUUGGCUCUCUGAAACUAUCUCCCAGUAGCCCACCCAGUCCCCCGCCACCCCGACCCUCGAACAAAAGGAAUGCUUGAGGGGUUUCAGUGACUUUGCUAUAACAAAGGCGCCACCAUUUCAGGGCUUGCCCCGCCCCUGGGUGAAGGCAAACAAAUUCUUGCACUUGUAUUAGGGCUUUUAAGACUAUAAUUGAACCCGGGGGCGUCUAGGAGAACCGAAAACAGUUCUAGACAGACCUGGGGUUUUAUAGCAGUUUUGGCAGUCAACUUCAGCUUGUGCCUGAGCAGACCGGCUGCGGUGGCCCGCCAGCCGGGGACGCCAGGCUACCUCCCCCAGCUGCACGCAGCCCCUCUCCUAAUUAGAUCGGCUUUCCCCUUAGUGCCAGGGAGAGGGGGUACCGGCAGAAAGGUCAGAAUGGGGAUAUACACUGUUCUGCGUAAUCAAUGCCUCCUGUGUCCCUGAGAGCCAAGCCGAGAGGGUGCCAGCAGGUCUGGAUCCCAUGGGUAUCUGUAGGAGACAAAGGCAAAUUUCCGAGAAGAGGCUGGGUUGGAGGAAGGCUCUCCCAAAGCAGCUGGCAGGGUAAUUCAAGAAGGCUGUACCGAUGCGGGGUGCCGGGAGGGACACACAGCCCGGAAGAGGGUAUGUUGGGGUGCUGCAGCAAAGAUGGAUGAGGGGAAAGGCUUUUGAUGCCAGGAGAAGAGAAAAUGCCUGGAGUGGCGAAUGUUUUUACUUCCCCAGCAGCGACAGGAGGGGGUGCUCAGAUCCCCAAGGCCUCGGACUUUUCCCAGCUUCGCCCGCUCCUGCCCCUCUUGCCCAGAAUAUACUGGCAGUGUGAAUGUUUGCGGGGGUGGGAGGGAAUAGUUGGGGGUGGGCGCAGAUUGGAGCAUCAGACGAAAUCUGGGCAAGCAGGGGAGGCACAGCUGCAGGUACUUGGUUUUGACUUUGCUUUGAGCCUAACUGACUCUUCCGCUUUGCAGGAGGCCCUACAGCCGAACUGAGCCCACCCUGCUCAGGGGAAGACCUGACGGGUGCUAAGGCCACCUGGAAUGCCAAGUCCGAGUUGUAUUUCUUAAAGAGAUCGAGUGGAUGAGGCUGUGACAUUGGCCCCUGCCGACUGGUUUCCCACGAGCUGUUCUUUCUCAGGAGCUCCACAAAGCGGAGCCAUCUCCAGAAAGCAAUCUUCAGCAUGUAUUUCCUUUUAUCCUCAACCCAGAGCCCCACGGCAGCUAAUGCAAAAGGCCAAAAAUGUUUUGGAGGAAGAAAAACAAAGGCAGGAAGUGGCGGCGGCCUGACGGUGCGUGUGUGUCUGCGGAGAAGGGAGGGAGCCGUUUCAAUCUCUUCUUGUUGUUUUUCCAAACUUCAAGGUCUAGGCAGCCCUCGCAGGGCCGGGCCCUUUCGUUCCCCAAGCCACGUUUGGAGAUGGCCACCCGGAGAGGAGAAGGCUGGCGCCCCCGCGUCAGCGUGGUCAGGCGGAAACGGCUAACGAGGCGAUUUGCUCAGCAAAGCAGACCGAGCCUUUGCAAGGCUCCGUGUGAUUUGGCCUUAAAUG